CCUACGGGUGGCAGCAGUGAGGAAUAUUGGUCAAUGGACGAGAGUCUGAACCAGCCACGUAGCGAAGGAUGACUGCCCUAUGGGUUGUAAACUUCUUUUAUAAAGGGAUAAAACGAUGCACGUGUGCCUUUUUGCAUAUACUUUAUGAAUAAGGAGCUGCUGACUCCUUGCCAUCUGCCGCGGUAAUACGUAGGAUCCGAGCGUUAUCCGGAUUUAUUGGGUUUAAAGGGAGCGUAGAUGGGUUGUUAAGUCAGUUGUGAAAGUUUGAGGCUCAACCGUAAAAUUGCAAUUGAUACUGGCAGGCUUGAGUACAGUUGAGGUAGGCGGAAUUCGUGGUGUAGCGGUGAAAUGCUUAGAUAUCACGAAGAACCCCGAUUGCGAAGGCAGCUUACUAA
rnacentral:rRNA from 1 species